GAUGAACGCUGGCGGCGUGCCUAAUACAUGCAAGUCGAGCGAACAGACCAGGAGCUUGCUCCUCUGACGUUAGCGGCGGACGGGUGAGUAACACGUGGAUAACCUACCUAUAAGACUGGGAUAACUUCGGGAAACCGGAGCUAAUAACGGAUAAUAUAUUGAACCGGAUGGUUCACUAGUGAAAGACGGUGUUGCUGUAAGUUAAAGAUGGAUCCGCGCCGCAUUAGCAAGUUGGUAAGGUAACGGCUUACCAAGGCAACGAUGCGUAGCCGACCCGAGAGGGUGAUCGGCCACACUGGAUCUGAGACACGGUCCAGACUCCUACGGGAGGCCGCAGUACGGAAUCUUCCGCAAUGCGCGAAAGCCUGACGGAGCAACGCCGCCUGAGUGAUGAAGGUCUUCGGAUCGUAAAACUCUGUUAUUAGGGAAGACCAAAUGUGUAAGUAACUAUGCACGUCUUGACGGUACCUAAUCAGAAAGCCCCGGCUAACUACGUG
rnacentral:rRNA from 1 species